AUAAUGUCGCAAUAGUAAUUCAUCCAAGUAUGAGAGGAACUGUUGAUUCCCAUAAUUGGUCAUCACGCUUCAUUUAAAAUCCAGCGAAGCGAAGCUACCUUGUCCUGGAUUAUGACUGAAUGCCUCUAAGUCAGAAUUCGGGAUAAAAGAGACAUAUGCGCCCGCUAUCUAUUUGCCGACAUACAGUAAGGGUGGCAGCCCCCAAAGGCAUGUGUCAUUGGCUAAGCCACCAUGGCGGAAGGGUCGGGGUGGCCGCUUUAAAGUACGAUUUCCACCGAGCAACAGGUAGAAUCCUUUGCAGACAACUUAAAUAUUCGAUGGCGUUUUAUAAGUGGUAGUGUGGCCUUGCUGCCAUGAUCUACUAAGAUUCAUCCCUUUGUCACUCCAGUUU
rnacentral:ncRNA from 1 species